CCCUAAAGACUUUGUUGGGGCUCGGGGUGCUGGUCGCUGGUCUCUGGUUCCAUCGGCUCCGGGCUGGUUCCUGCAGAGUGGAGGCCAGUGGGCAGCCCUCUCGUCACGUGCUGGUGAGGCUCUGAGGGAGCAUGGGGGCAGGGGGCCUGAGCUGGAGGGACCCCCGGCCACCCAGAACCUUGCCUGCCAACCACAGGGCCUGCGCCCUGACUCCCAGCCAGACUGCCAAGAGGGCCCUGUCCAGACCGUCCCCAUCACAAGCACCUAGUCCUGGGGAGAGGGGGCCCCCAGGAGACCCACCAGCCUAGAGCACGAGCUCCUGUCCCCUCUCCUUUUCCCCUGGACCCUCCCCAGGCUGACGGAGCCUCAGUUUUUCCCAAGUGGGGGUGGCCCUGGCAUCCCAGGCCUGGGGUUUCUUAGGUGACCCCCACCUCCCCAGCAGUUGACUAGACCAGCGCAGGGCUCCCCUGUCACCCUGCCCCACUUUGGGGGGGACCGUGGAAGGCCUCUGCCCCCAACUCACCCGCCUACCCCAGCUGGGGGACCGUGGCGCUCACGAGUACUUGACCUGGGAGGCAGCUUGUCUGAGCCUUAACAGAGAGAAACCGAAUCUUGUUUUAGUUUCUUAUCUACUGUAUUUGCACCCGGGCUGCAGUCAGCAGGAGUUUCAGGGGACAGGGCUGCUGACGCUUUCGGGGACCCAGAGCUCAGCAUCACUUGGUUGGCAACCUGUGGCUCCAGGGACAAGCGUGCGAGUGGGAGCCCCUUCCCGAGGCCUUGGCCCUCCUUUUGGAGUGGGAUGCUGGGAGCAGAGGCUGGUUAUAGACAGGGCCCCCCAGGGCCCUCCCAGAGGCUGCCCGGCCAGCCCCGUGGACGGGCGCAAGCAGAGUGGUUCCAUCUGAGCAUCAGAAGGGACCCAGGGGCCACGGGGAGGUGGACAUCCAGGUGGCAGCCCAGCCUUCACUCCUAUCUGUGCCUCCUCUCCCGCUGGGGGUGUCUUCCGAGUGAGCAGGACCUGAGGGACCCGCCUCGGUGCCUGGGCAGCAGGUGACACAUGCUGUCCCUGAGAAGCCCAGAGGAGAAGGGGCAUUCUCUUGGCCAAGCCCCACCUGCCCCUCUUCUCCAAGCCGCCUGGGGGAGCUGUGCGCUGGACCCUCACAGAGGUUCAGGGCCCAAGCACUGAUUCGGAACCCAUGGUUUUUGGUUUUUAAGUUAAUUCAUUUUGCACAAAACUCCCAAACAACCAAAACAUGUCAAGUGUUUGCUGGUGGCAGAAUGCAGGGGGGCCGCCUGGGCAGGGCAGCACGGCAAGCCCCAAGUCCCCUCUCUGCCCGUGGAAGGCCUCGGGUUUUCCGUAGUGCACCUCUCCCAGCCCCUUCCUGUCCAUUCCCCUCGCCGUGUCACCUCUCUGCCCCGUCGAGCAAGUGUGUCGGCCCCUUGACCCCCCCAGAAACGUGUGCUCCCCCUCCCCCUAGGACGUAUAUUGUACACACCUAUAAAUAGUUGUGUUUUAUGUUGAUAUAGAUAUAUACUGUAAAUAGCAUAUAUACUUGAGCAAUAUAUAUGUUAAUAUAUACUGCGUGAGUGCACACGUGUGCGUGUGUGUGUGUGUGUGUGGACGUGAGGGCCUUCGCUCCGCUGUGUCUGCCGUGCACACAGGCACGUUUUGAGCCACCGUGUAUUUUUAAUUCAAGUAUAUAGGCAAUACGAUUAUUAGAGACGCCGGCUGGCUCCUGGGCCCUGACUUGAGAGAAAAACUAAACCAGCAGCCCAGGACCUGAGCCCUGGGGCGGGUUCCGGGAGUCCCUACCCCCUCCUCCCCCAGUCUCCCCCGAACGCUGGAUUCGGCCCCUUCCCAUGGGCAGGGCCCCUGGACACGCUUAUCUUAUUUGGGGGGCAGUGGAACAGAGGGGGGAGCCGCUGGGUCAGAACACCCCNNNNNNNNNNNNNNNNNNNNNNNNNNNNNNNNNCCACCCCGACCCCAACCCCUGACUUCUUUGACCUGCAGGGGUGGGAACCGCAGGCUCUCUCUCUCCCCAGGUCUCCUCCUGGGGACCGUCCCCGUCUGAGAAAAGGACGGAUGCCCUUGGUGUGGUUCGCAGGAGGGGUUGGCACAGGGACACCAUGGGCUGGCUACACAAGCGUGUGUCCAGCUGACGAGGCGGGAGCCGGAAACCCGCUCCCUCCCCUUCCCAGCCCCCACCCUCCUGCCGUGUGUGGAAGCAGGGCGCAGUGGUUUGGUCCCCACAACCUGGGGCAAGAGUGAAUGGUUAUCCUAGUGGCUCGCUGCCCCAUCUCAGCUUGGCUGGGUGCAGGGGACCCCAGACCCACAGAGGAGGGAGGGCGCGCUCGGCUCUGUCUGAGGGGUGAGCAGGUGGCCCUGGAGUAAGAAGAGCGCAAACCGUCCCAACGCCACCCUCUUGUCCCUCGCCCACCCGUGCCUGUGCACUGCUGGGCGCUUGAGCGCGGGCAGAGGACACGGGGAGCCAGGUCUGCCCGCUUAGCCCCCACCCCCAAUUAUAAAAAUCUGCCUCUUUGGUUCAGCCCUCAACAUGGGCUCCCCUGGUUCCUAAGAAACCCUUUUCUCCCUGAGCCCCGGUCCUGACCCAGCAAAGAGUUGGGCAGUGCCUGCUCUGUACCUCUGUCUCUAAAGCCCCCAGGAGGUAGCACGCACACCAGUGCCCUCAGCCCUGGGCACACUUCCAAGCAGGAGAGGCACGCAGACCUUCCUUCCCAGGAUUCAGGGGUCCAGAGCCCCUCAAGCACCAGCAUUCUCCCCCUCCCACCAACUCCUGGCCCCAGGUGGGGAGGGAGGGAGCCAGGUGAUCUGGAGUGGCUGCUGUGGCCUCCCUGUGCAGGUGGCAUGGGCCUCGGUGGCCAGUGUGUUACACAGAGGAUGCAUGGUCGGUUGGGGCUUGUUCCUUCUGAGGUGACAGAGGACGCCACGGAGGUGAGGGGAGACAGCUUGGGGAGAUGGGAAGGGCCAGGCUCCUACCCCAAGCCCAGGGCACCGUUUGCCUGAUAAUCAGAGAUGGACCUGCAUCCCCCCCACACACACCAGCCCCCUCUGGCCACAGUUCCCAGCCCCCCCGGGCCACCUUUCUGAGCCUCUGGAUCUGGAUGUGGGGACAGCUGGGAGCCUCCCAGGGUGUCCCACUCCAGCCCCUUGACUGAGGCAUUUGAUGCCCCUUCCUGUGUGAAAGCAGUGGGGUUUGGGGAGAAAGCACCCCCAAUAUAUCUGCCCACCGUAAGCCAGGACUGGGGAGCAGCAGGCCAGUCACUGCUGUCGCGGGCCCUGAGAAGCGGAGCGGGUCUUCGGCCUGGUGAGCGGAGCUUCGGGGAGGAUGACGGCAUCCCCAGUGCUGGAAAGACAAGGACCCGAGCUUUUCAGGUUUCCCAGUGCCGAGGCCGGGGCUGGGCCUGGAGGGGGCGUGGCCUCUAUUCAAAGAGGCCACCUGGGAGGGGAGUGGCCGAGGUGGUGGCCCGUGGUCAGACCUGCAGACGCGGGCUGUGGAAGAGUGGCCGGGGCACGUCACGGUGGGGGGGAGUUUGAGGCUGGGAAUAGCUCGAUACCUUUCCUACAUCUAGGAGCCCAUCCCGGCUCUUUUUCUUUUCUCUUUUUUUGCCUUUUCAGGGAUGCACUCUCAGUGUUCUUUUCUUUCUUUCAUUUUCAAAUUAGAGGCGGCAGAAGGAUGUUCCCUUAACCCCUUUCCCCCCGGGCUACCAGGGUGCGCCCCGUGGCCUCCAGCUUUGAAACCCUUGUCCUCCCAGGAAGCCUGCUUUCUUGGGAAGGGAAGGCGGAAGCUGUUGGCGGAGGCAGCCUGCCGUCCUGGGGGCUGAAGGCACCAGGAGUGGCCUGGAGCAGGGGUAGUCGCAUUGGACCUGACCUGGCCCGUGGGCAGCCUGGCCCGUGGGUAGCCUGGUGGGGAGGGAGCCUGUGGCUCUUGGUUCGAGUUGAGGGGAGGUGGUGAGAGCGCAGAGUGCUGGAGUCAGGACAGUGUUCUGGGCGUGACCACAUGCGUGUAGACGUGAGCAUGAGCGUGUGCUGUGUACACAUGAGUGUGCAUGUGAGCCCACACGAGCAGAGUCCAGAUCCGAGUGAGGGGACUGGCUCAUUCAGUAUUUUGAGGCCUCGGAACCUUCUUACCCGGGGGCCACACGCUGCCCGGCCCCCCCUCGACCCUGUUAAAACUGUUCUGGCGAGGAGGGCAGGCAGAGCUGUUCCUAAGGAGCUCUGAUCCACUCUGCAGGGGGCCCGGCGGUCCACGCAGCCAGCCCCAAGGGGCAGACCUGCUGGGCCAGCUCUUCAGAAGCAGCCGGUCCUGAAGAAGCUACUUGCAGGGAGUGGUUUUGGGCACCGGGGCCCCUCGCCUGCUGGGGCUGGUCCACAAAGAGCGUCCAGCAACGUUGGCAGCGAGGGUGGAUGAGAAACAGACCAAGCCCAGUACGUUUUCCCGUCUGUCGCUUCACUUUGCCUGUUCAGAGCACAUGGUCCGGGAAGAACUGGUCGAGGUUGGUUCCAAAACCGGGGGCGGGGUUGGGGGACGAACAGCAGCAAAACCCCGAGCCCUCCUCUGCUCUUUGCCAAAAUCAUUUCCGUUAUCCUGAGCUGGGUGGGGGGAGUGGACGUUGGCUGCACAGCAGGGCUCGGGGGCCUCUGCCCUGCCCAGGGCCACAUCUUGGGGGUCUGGCCCUCCCCGGCACACCCGGGUCACCAGCAGCAGCAGCGGCACUUAGAUCCAUCCCAAGUCUGGGCGAGGGGAGGGCCGUGCAGCCUGCGCCCGGGGGCCCCUUGCUUUCUUUCCUUCUUGAAGAAACACAAACCCCGCAAGAUUCAUGUACUGUAUGACGGAGAGAUAAAAAAGUACCUGAUGUUCCCCCCAAAAGACAGUAUAUUUUGUACUUUGUAAAGUGUUCAUUAAAACGGAGGGAAGAAAAA
ensembl:lncRNA